GGACGAACGUUGGCGGCGUGCCUAAUACAUGCAAGUCAACUGAAGCAGAGGUAGCAAUAUCUUUGUGGAGGUGGCGCACGGGCGAGUAACACGUAGGUAAUCUGCCUUCAGGUCUGACAUAACUCCGGGAAACCGGAGCUAAUAGCAGAUGAUGCAGCGGCUUGACAUCAAGACAGUUGUUAAAGCUUCGGCGCCUGAAGAUGAGCCUGCGUCUGAUUAGCUAGUUGGCGGAGUAACAGCCCACCAAGGCGACGAUCAGUAACUGGUCUGAGAGGAUGAUCAGUCACACUGGAACUGAGACACGGUCCAGACUCCUACGGGAGGCAGCAGUAAGGAAUAUUGCUCAAUGGGGGAAACCCUGAAGCAGCAACGCCGUGUGAGGGAUGAAGGGCUUUUGCUUGUAAACCUCUGUAGUGAGGGAAAAAACUUCCACUCUGUGGAAUAUGAUGGUACCUCAAAAGUAAGCCCCGGCUAACUACGUGCCAGCAGCCGCGGUAAUACGUAGGGGGCAAACGUUGUCCGGAUUUACUGGGUGUAAAGGGUGCUCAGGCGGUUUUGUAAGUCAGAAGUGAAAUCCUAGGGCUUAACUCUGGAACUGCUUUUGAUACUGCAAGGCUUGAAUGUGGAAGAGGAGGAUGGAAUUUCUGGUGUAGCAGUGAAAUGCGUAGAUAUCAGAAAGAACACCAGUGGCGAAGGCGGUCCUCUGGUCCACUAUUGACGCUAAAGCACGAAAGCGUGGAGAGCAAACAGGAUUAGAUACCCUGGUAGUCCACGCCCUAAACGAUGUCAACUGGUUGUUGGGGAUUUACUUCCUCAGUAACGAAGCUAACGCGUGAAGUUGACCGCCUGGGGAGUACGGCCGCAAGGUUAAAACUC
rnacentral:rRNA from 1 species